GACGAACGCUGGCGGCGUGCUUAACACAUGCAAGUCGAACGGAAAGGCCCUGCUUGCAGGGUACUCGAGUUGCGAACGGGUGAGUAACACGUGGGUGAUCUGCCCUGCACUUCGGGAUAAGCCUGGGAAACUGGGUCUAAUACCGGAUAGGAGCCAUUUUUAGUGGGAUGGUUGGAAAGUUUUUUCGGUGUAGGAUGAGCUGGCAGCCUAUCUGCUUGCUGGUGGGGUAAUGGGCUACCAAGGCGGCGACGGGUAGCCGGGCUGGGGGGGUGGACCGCCACCCUGAGACUGACGUACGGCCCCGACAGCUACGGGUGGCCGAAGUGGGGAAUCUUGACGGAUCGGCGCCAGCCUGAUGCUGAGACGCCGCGUGGCGGAUGACUGCCUUAUGGUUGUAAACUACUUUCGCUAGGGACGAAGCUUUUUGUGACGGUACCUAGAUAAGAAGCCCCGGCUAACUACGUG
rnacentral:rRNA from 1 species